rnacentral:rRNA from 1 species
AGAGUUUGAUCCUGGCUCAGAAUCAACGCUGGCGGCGCGCUUAACACAUGCAAGUCGAGCGAGAAAGGGAGCAAUCCUGAGUAAAGCGGCGUACGGGUGAGUAACACGUGGAUCAUAUACCUUUUAGUGGGGAAUACCCUUGGGAAACCGAGGACAAUACCGCAUAAUCCCGGGAGGGGAAAGCAGCAAUGCGCUGAAAGAGUAGUCCGCGGCUGAUUAGCUAGUUGGUAGGGUAAAGGCCUACCAAGGCUGUGAUCGGUAGCCGGCCUGAGAGGGCACACGGCCACACUGGCACUGAAACACGGGCCAGACUCCUACGGGAGGCAGCAGUGGGGAAUCUUGCACAAUGGACGAAAGUCUGAUGCAGCGACGCCGCGUGAGCGAUGAAGCCCUUCGGGGUGUAAAGCUCUUUCGACAGGAACGAUAAUGACGGUACCUGGAGAAGAAGCUGCGGCUAACUACGUGCCAGCAGCCGCGGUAAUACGUAGGCAGCAAGCGUUGUUCGGAAUUACUGGGCGUAAAGCGUGCGUAGGCGGUGGCUCAAGUUUGGUGUGAAAUCUCCCGGCUCAACUGGGAGGGUGCGCCGAAAACUGAGUUGCUCGAGUGUGGGAGAGGUAGGCGGAAUUCCUGGUGUAGCGGUGAAAUGCGUAGAUAUCAGGAGGAACACCGGCGGUGUAGACGGCUUACUGGACCAUAACUGACGCUGAGGCACGAAAGUGUGGGGAGCAAACAGGAUUAGAUACCCUGGUAGUCCACGCCUUAAACUAUGGAUACUAAGUGUCGGCGGGUUACCGCCGGUG